rnacentral:rRNA from 1 species
UACGUAGGGGGCAAGCGUUGUCCGGAAUCAUUGGGCGUAAAGAGCGUGUAGGCGGCCCGGUAAGUCCGCUGUGAAAGUCCAGGGCUCAACCCUGGGAUGCCGGUGGAUACUGUCGGGCUCGAGUCCGGAAGAGGAGUGUGGAAUUCCUGGUGUAGCGGUGGAAUGCGCAGAUAUCAGGAGGAACACCUAUAGCGAAGGCAGCUCGCUGGGACGUUACUGACGCUGAGGCGCGAAAGCGUGGGGAGCGAACAGG